rnacentral:sRNA from 1 species
AUCGUGAAGAAGUCAUGCUACCCACGCUGGAAUGAGACGUUUGAAUUUGAGCUGCAGGAGGGGGCCAUGGAGGCGCUGUGCGUGGAGGCCUGGGACUGGGACCUUGUCAGCCGAAACGACUUCCUGGGCAAAGUGGUGAUCGAUGUCCAGAGACUGCGGGUGGCGCAGCAGGAGGAGGGCUGGUUCCGGCUGCAGCCCGACCAGUCCAAGAGCCGGCGGCAUGACGAGGGCAACCUGGGCUCCUUGCAGCUGGAGGUUCGGCUGCGGGACGAGACGGUGCUGCCCUCCAGCUACUACCAGCCACUGGUGCACCUGCUGUGCCACGAGGUCAAGCUGGGCAUGCAG